rnacentral:rRNA from 1 species
CUGGUGCCUUCGGGAAGUCCUAGACACAGGUGCUGCAUGGCUGUCGUCAGCUCGUGUCGUGAGAUGUUGGGUUAAGUCCCGCAACGAGCGCAACCCUUGUCAUUAGUUGCUACGAAAGGGCACUCUAAUGAGACUGCCGGUGACAAACCGGAGGAAGGUGGGGAUGACAUCAAGUCCUCAUGGCCCUUAUGGGUAGGGCUUCACACGUCAUACAAUGGUCGGGACAGAGGGUCGCCAACCCGCGAGGGGGAGCCAAUCCCAGAAACCCGAUCGUAGUCCGGAUUGUAGUCUGCAACUCGACUACAUGAAGUCGGAAUCGCUAGUAAUCGCGGAUCAGCAUGUCGCGGUGAAUACGUUCCCGGGUCUU